AUACGGAGGAUGCAAGCGUUAUCCGGAUUUAUUGGGUUUAAAGGGUGCGUAGGCUGACGUGUAAGUCAGAGGUGAAAUCUCCGGGCUCAACCUGGGAACUGCCUUUGAUACUGCAUGUCUGGAGUUCGGAUGCCGUGGGAGGAAUGGGCAGUGUAGCGGUGAAAUGCAUAGAUAUUGCCCAGAACACCGAUUGCGAAGGCAUCUCACGAAUCCGACACUGACGCUGAGGCACGAAAGCGUGGGGAUCAAACAGGAUUAGAUACCCUGGUAGUCCACGCAGUAAACGAUGAUAACUAACCGUCGGCGAUAGACAGUCGGUGGCCAAGCGAAAGCGAUAAGUUAUCCACCUGGGGAGUACGUCGGCAACGAUGAAACUUAAAGGAAUUGACGGGU
rnacentral:rRNA from 1 species